rnacentral:sRNA from 1 species
UGACUCGGACAUGGAGGUCGACCUCGCA